GGACUACCAGGGUAUCUAAUCCUGUUUGAUCCCCGCACUUUCGUGCCUCAGCGUCAGUUAUACUUUAGUAAGCUGCCUUCGCAAUUGGUGUUCUUGACAAUAUCUAUGCAUUUCACCGCUACACUGUCAAUUCCGCCUACCUCAACUAUACUCAAGCCUAGCAGUAUCAAUGGCAGUUCGAUCGUUAAGCGAUCGGCUUUCACCACUGACUUAUUAAGCCGCCUACGCACCCUUUAAACCCAAUAAAUCCGGACAACGCUUGCCACCUACGUAUUACCGCGGCUGCUGGCAC
rnacentral:rRNA from 1 species